AUUGCUCCUUUCCACAGAAUAUAUACUAUAAUUGAAGUGACACAGAAAAGAUUAUCAUGGCCCUGGCAUAAGCACGAAAAAAGAAUUCAUAGGGCCACCCAGAUAGCU
rnacentral:snRNA from 1 species